ensembl:lincRNA mhc1zda major histocompatibility complex class I ZDA
CAGCACAUCAAGUUAAGUCAUUCUAAGAAAAGAGAAACUGAAAUAUUUUUUCAUGGAUUUGUCAUAAUGCGUACUGGAGAGUUCAAUGCUGAAACGGCUUGCCACAGUGAAGGGGAAGACACACACCGCGGCUUUAAAAUGGCUGUUUUUGUCGUUUUGUUGUUGGCAGUGAUGCCCCUUGAUGUUGAACCAGCCACGACUGGUCUGCUGUUAUUUUCACUUAAAUAUAGCUACUCUUUUUAGGAUAUUUUUUAAAUACCGAAAUUAAAUUAAUCGACGUCAUUGUUGUUUCUCAUGCUGCUUAUAUAGCCUACUUAUUCCAUCGCCUAAUAAUGGUAUAAAAUGUCUUAAAGGUUAUGCCUGUUAUGGUGUGUGUAGGUUAUUUGAUCUGUUUAUGGCCUCCCAGGCGUAAGCGAAUACUUUCGGUUCAGGAAAAAAACCUCCUGGCACCGCCUUCAGUGUUGACAGAUGUAGCUGACAACUGACCGAUGUUGUGGUUGUGGAUCUCUACCGGAUCUAAAAUGAUAAUAUAUUUAGAUCAUAACACUGUUUUCUUCUUUAUUUAUUCUCUUUCAAUACAGAAAAACACUCCCUCUACUACAUAUACACAGCUUUAUCCAGACCUGUCAAUCUGCCGGGCAUCCAUGAGUUCACUGCAAUGGGUUUGCUUGAUGACAGACAGAUUGACUAUUACAACAGCCAAGAUCAGAAGAAGAUUCCUAAACAGCACUGGAUGAAAGAGAAAAUGCAGGAAGAUUACUGGGAAAAAGGCACCCAGUCCAGAAAGAGCAAAGAACAGUGGUUUAAUGUGAACGUCAACAUUCUGAUGGACCGAAUGAGACACAAUAAAUCAGAUCUUCAUGUUCUUCAGUGGAGACAUGGUUGUGAAAUUGACAGUCAGGACGAUGAUGUUCGGUUUUCUAAAGGCAUUGAUGAGUACAGUUAUGAUGGAGAAAACUUCUUGUCUUUUGAUGAUGCGGAUUCUCAGUGGGUUGCCCCAGUGGACGCAGCUCUUCCAACCAAGAGGAAAUGGGAUAAUGUGCCCAUCCUAAAUCAGUACACUAAGGGCUACCUGGAAAAAGAGUGUGUGGACUGGCUUAACAAAUUCAGAGAAUAUGGAAAUGAGGAGCUUAGAGAAGGCUACGUCUUUAGAUAACAGCCAUCAGAAGAGCUGAAUGGAGUGAGGACCUAAUUAGAAAUGCUGGACUCUGCAGUUCUCAGUUUAUAUCAGCUCCCCCAGAUGUUCAUGUGUUUGCAAGGAGCAUUAUCAAUGGCAAAGCCAAGCUAAAACUCACUUGUCUGGCUACUGGAUUCUACCCCAAAGAUGUGUAUUUGACCAUAAGGAAAUACCGCAUGGCACUGCUUGAUAAAGAUCUAGAAUCCUCAGGAGUUAGACCAAACCAUGAUGGGACCUUUCAGCUUAGAAUGAGCACUUACAUCUACGAGGAUGAAAAAGCAGAAUAUGACUGUUAUGUGAAGCACAGAACCCUUGGAGCACCAAUUAUCAAAAAAUGGGAUGGGAAAUGCAGCGAUUGCUCCAAGGUGACUUUCCUUGGUAUGAUUGUUGGAGCAAUAAUCGGAGCAGUGUUUGUGCUGACAGUCAUUGGCUUGGUAAUUUUGGUCUUAACAAGGAAGAAAGGAAUUGGGGAUAAUGAUCCAAGUGCAAUACCGCUAAAUAAUAAUCAACACAUUGAACCAUCUGUGAAGGAGUCCAAAAAUAAACCGACAGCUGCAGAAGGACAAUCUACUGGUGGAGAUCUGAAAAGUUAAAGUCCGAUUAUUUUGGAAGAUUUGUAUUGGCAGAAUGA